rnacentral:rRNA from 1 species
GACGAACGCUGGCGGCGUGCUUAACACAUGCAAGUCGAACGGAAAGACCCUGCUUUUGUGGGGUGCUCGAGUGGCGAACGGGUGAGUAACACGUGAGUAACCUGCCCUUGACUUUGGGAUAACUUCAGGAAACUGGGGCUAAUACCGGAUAGGAGCUCCUGCUGCAUGGUGGGGGUUGGAAAGUUUCGGCGGUUGGGGAUGGACUCGCGGCUUAUCAGCUUGUUGGUGGGGUAGUGGCUUACCAAGGCUUUGACGGGUAGCCGGCCUGAGAGGGUGACCGGCCACAUUGGGACUGAGAUACGGCCCAGACUCCUACGGGAGGCAGCAGUGGGGAAUAUUGCACAAUGGGCGGAAGCCUGAUGCAGCAACGCCGCGUGCGGGAUGACGGUCUUCGGGUUGUAAACCGCUUUCGCCUGUGACGAAGCGUGAGUGACGGUAAUGGGUAAAGAAGCACCGGCUAACUACGUG